GAAAGACCCUACCUCAGAGUUAAUUGCUUACAUAUAUUCUGGUUUAUGAUAAAAAAAAAAAAACUUGUCAACAUAUUAAGAAGAAUUAACCAAUGUGAAGUUAAUUUCUUUAGAGCAAGAUUGUCUUCUAUUACUUAGUACAAAGAUGAGAAAGGUUUAACGGUGACGGAAUCGCAAGGCUAGUCCGUUUAGGCAUCGACAGUGUGGAAACUGCACGCCGGAAAAACAUCUCCGGGCAAUCAACUUCUGCCUCGCCGCCCACCGCUUUCUAUCCUUUGUUUUUUCCUGCUGUUUUUGCUCGUUUGUAAGCACGUUGGAAAAGCUUUGCUUGAUAAGCAUAAGAAAUGGAGGCAACCAAAGGAAACUAACAAGUGCGUGCGACUGAGUGUGUGUUUCCAACGAGCGACUGCACAUAACAAGCUUCUAUCCUAUCCCAUUUGUGCUGCUCCGCUCCUUGCUUUCUCAGCUGAUAGGACAAGCCGGAGGCGCCAUAACCGUAGCUUAAGUCUGUUGCACUGGUCUAGUCAAACUUAAGCCGGAAAUUCAGUAUACAAACUGUGCUGCAACUAUUUCCAGCAAACUUUUUGUUUUCCCUGUAACAAGAUUGAUAGAAUGGGUCGUGCGUGGGAUGGAGAGAAGCCGCCCAUUUAACCAGUUACACGUAGUCGCCUCAUAAGCUAGCACAACACAUUGCUGCAGCACUUAGUUCUGUAGCUUCUCUACUCACCGAAAGUUAAUUUCCGCUUUGGCGUCGCACCUGCAACGAAAAUGGAAUGAAUGAAACCCCUACAAGCGCAGGGCUUCCAUUUUGCGGAUCGCUGGGGAACGAGUUGCAUUUCAAGGUAAAAGUUUAAUUUUAGCGAGCUGUCGCAGUCAACGCAUUUUAAUUCAAUUGAAGUUGAUUAAAAAUUAAUUUGAAAUUAAAUGUGAACUCAAUGAAGUUGUAGUUAAAAAUAGUGCAGCCAAACGAGGGAGAAGAAGGAAAAAAAUGGCAUUUGACAGGCUGUGACAUUAAAGGGUCGGAAGAACAAAAAAGUAUUGAUUGGAUGGAAAAUUGCGAAACUUAAACAGGGCACACAAGUGAGUGUGUGUGGGUGGAUUACCAGCACGUAGGCAGGUGAAGCGGGAACGGAAGUUGUUGCAAAGUCCGUUGAAAUCAAUUUGUAAAGUAAACUUGUUAGGUGAAAAGCCGAAACAAGAGAAUGCCAUCGGAAACCAAGUGGGCUAAGUAAGGAGCAGAACAAGAAAGGGAAAACUAAUUGCAGCGCUCAUUUUUUGCUUGUUAAUGGGCCUGCAAACGAGCUUCGAGUUUCCCUCCUUCUAUCGAUCCUUGAAACCCACACAUGCUCACAUCCCCGUGCCCACACACAUUUGUUCUGCUUGUGGCAUCGCAAAAGUUUUUCCCCCAAUUUUAUUUGCCUCAUUUCGCUGCCAUUGUUGCUGCUCGUUCAAAAUCUGCGUGCGCAAGUAACAACAUUUUACAGCUGCAAUUAAAGUUAGUUAGCACUCUCAUCCCCCUUCGUUCGCUUUUCCAGCAGUUCCCGCAUUUUCCGCUGCACUUUCCACAACAAGCUAAUGCACUGCACUUUAAUUAACCCAACACCAAGAGAACAAACCUGAAAUUAUACACCCUUUCGCUUUCUGCCCGGCUAAUGGCAAUUUAUGUGCGAUAAUUUGUGGUAUGAAAACCAUAAAAACAAGUGCGAGGAGUCCAAUAACAAUCAACUAAAUAACGAAACACUCUAAAAUGACCAACCUGUGUUUCUAUUCUAUAUUUCAUGAAAUUU